rfam:Salmo salar isolate Sally breed double haploid chromosome ssa23, whole genome shotgun sequence.
UCCCCUGUGGCUCAGUUGGUAGGGCAGCGUGUUUGCAACACCAGGGUUGUGGGUUUGAUUCCCACGGGGGAC